rnacentral:misc_RNA from 1 species
UCUCCGUAGGUGAACCUGCGGAGGGAUCAUUACUGAGUUAUCUAACUCCUAAACCACUGUGAACUUACUUACUGUUGCCUCGGCAGAAGCUGCUCGGUGCACCCUACCUUGGAACGGCCUACCCUGUAGCGCCUUACCCUGGAACGGCUUACCCUGUAACGGCUGCCGGUGGACUACCAAACUCUUGUUAUUUUAUUGUAAUCUGAGCGUCUUAUUUUAAUAAGUCAAAACUUUCAACAACGGAUCUCUUGGUUCUGGUAUCGAUGAAGAACGCAGC